rnacentral:lncRNA from 1 species
GAGGAUCACAUCUGCUAACUUGAAUGCUGCUGCUCGCGACGAGCUGCUUGAAGCUGGUCUGGCUGACACAAAGACGGUAUGUAAAGAGAACUCACUAGUAUCUUUUUUGACAUCUUUUGAUUGAUCUAUGACAUUUGAGGGCAGGCUUCGGCUGAUCAAAGAGCGAGAUUGAUGAUGUCAACCGAUCGAUUGGGUCGAACCACUGACAGAAUCAAGGACAGUCGAAGAAUGAUGAUUGAGACUGAAGAGCUUGGAGUUUCUGUCCUACAAGACUUGCACAGUCAGAGACAGUCUCUCCUUCGCACUGGCGACACGGUAUGUACUCUCUUCUUCAGCACGAUUUUAUCAUGAAGAAGACUACGUUUUAUUUAUAUACUACUUGUGAUUGGUGUCUCUUUUAACCAAAAGUUAGAACUCUGAAACAUGCAGCUUAGUGGAGUAGACGAAAAUGUCGGAAAGAGCAAGAAGAUCUUGACGGGCAUGACCAGGGGGAUGAACAGGAACAAAUGGACCAUUGGAGCCAUUAUCACCGCUCUGGUCGCGGCUAUUAUCCUCAUCUUGUACUUCAAACUCACCAAGUAAUCCCUCUGUAUCUAAACUCUUUGUCGCUGAACAAAUGGUGUGUAUCUUUUAUUUAAUCCUUUUCUGGCUUUCUGUGUGAUAAGUUAUGUCUUUGCCACCUUUUGUAUUAUCACGUUCUCUUGUUUGCGUUUGCGAUUACAUUUGUGUAUUUUAAUACUGAAUGAUGCAAAUUGUUUUGUUUUAUUAUUACUAAACGCAAGCGUAAAUUACAUUUCAAACAAUUAGAGCCUAAGCCUUGAGAUUGAGAACUAGUUGUGUGUUUUUCUUUCAUUCUUGAACCUGUUAUAAUCAGCGAGCAAGCUCUCAAUAACCUUAUGUUUCAUGCUAUCCACCAAACCAGUCAAAAUCUGUAGAAACCAAAUCACAACCAAACAUUAUUUACAAAGCUGAAAUAGUGGAAAAUAUCGUUUUCGAGUUCUCAAACGCAUAUAAGAAACCGUUUCUAACCGCAUUGGCCACGCUUCUCUUAACAUCUUCGGGUACAAACGCAAGAACCGAAGGAAGGACGAAGCUUACGUUCAUCUCUAAUUGACCUUUGAGCCUUGUGUGGCUUCCGCCUCGGUCUGGGUACAAUGCUCCUUGAACUCCCAGAGUGAAAUCAGACUGUUCCAUGACCUGGCCAAGCCCUUGAAGCUCCCAUUUCAUCUGAAGGUAAACCGUUAAAAGGGAACAAAAGAGUGAGAAUCGUCAAGGGUUGUGUCUGUUUCUAUUACCAUGUUAAGCUCAAGAACUCUGGUUAUGUCUAGAGGUACAUCAGGCGGGUAAUCUUGACCGUUGGAUUUGCAUCUAAUUCGCAUGUCCACCACUGGCCUUGCAGUGAGGAAGAGGAAAUUUAUAGGUGACAUAUGAAUUCUCCAUUCUUCCUGCACAAAUAAAAUAUUGUUAGAUACCGAAUGCAUUCCCACUUACAUAAAAAGUAACACAUAUUAGCUACCUCGUUAAGCCUAUAGCUUCUAGGUUUAUCAGGAAACAUUGCUUUGAAAACCCUACACUUAUCCUCCAAAUACUCAUCGAACAACGCCUGAACUUUCCCGAAACGCGUCAAACACAUACACUGUUGUACAGUGAUGCAUAUAUAUAACUCAUUAUAGGAAAUGAGAGUGAGAAUGAGACCUGAGGAGACUCGUGCAAUUGAACAUCGGUAGAGAAUUUAGAUGAAUACUUGGAGGCUUUUACAGUUGACAACUGGCACUUGGCUCCUGGCCGUAAUGUUCUCAUCUCCGCCGCUGUAGACCUGAUUCUUCCCAGCAUUGUCGGACACGACAAAACUGUUGAGCUGACAGCCAUGUUAGUAGUCUCUCUCUAGGUUUUCAAGAUUGGAUGAUGUUUGAUCUUUCCCACAUGUUUGAAAGAUAAGGGGAUAUGUGUCUUUCGGCCUUGUAUGUAGACGUGGUAUAUCGAGGGACUAUCCACCUCAUCAACAUUUUGAAUUCUUGGCCCUCUUUGAUUUACUCCUUUAUUCACGUUUUUCUCACUAUUAAGAAGAAGACAAUCUUGUUGAACAAAUAAUUAAAAAAAAGAAGACAAUCUCUUUCUCUCUAUACUCUUUCAGUCUUUCUUCGGUUCUCUGUUAUGAAAACAGUCUCCUUUCUUUCGGCUAAAUCAGGUCAAUAACAGAAAAUUGUGUGUUUUUUUUACAGUGUUCUAAAAAUUGGUUUAGAUGACACAUUAAAAAAAGUCUAACCAUACAUUUAAUCAACAAUCUUCGUAAAAAGUAUAACUACCGCCUAACGAUUUUUUGCAUUGUUUUUCUCUCAAAAUAUUACAAUUGACAGAUUUAAUAUUCAAAUAUUAUAGUUACUCCAUAACUAAUAGCUCGACGGCAUAAAAUUGACAUGAUAUAGUCAAUAGUUUCGUCUAUUUUUAACAGUUGACUAUUAUAAUCCUAAUUUUUUUAAUUAUAAUCCUAGUUUUAUGGUGUAUAUAUAUACUAGUUGAUACAAGUUGUUUUGUUUAAUAUAAACGUAUACGCCAAACAUGGCGCAUAAAUUACAUUCAAACCAUUAAAGCUUUAGCCUUGAGAUUAAAAACUAAUGAUGUGUUCUUCUUUCAUUCUUAAACCUAUUAUAAUCAUCGAGCAAGCUCUCAAUAACCUUAUGCUUCAUAUUAUCCACCAAACCAUUUAAAACCUGCAGAAAGCAAAUAAAAACAUAAGAUAAUAUAUAAAUUUGGAAUAUAGUGUUUUGAAUUUGCAAAUGCAUUUAUUUCUAACCGCAUUGGCAACGUUUCUCCUAACAUCCUCUGGUACAAGCAUGAGAACCGUAGGAAGCACGAAGCUAACGUUCAUCUCUAGUCGACCUUUGAGCCUUGUGUGCCUUCCGCCUCGGUCUGGGUACAAUGCUCCUUGAACUCCAAGGGUGAAAUCAGAUGGCUCCAUGACCCGGUCAAGCCCUUGAAGCUCCCAUUUCAUCUGAAAAUAAACCGUUCAAAGAGAACAAAAGAGUGAGGUAUUUAGACUUUUUAGUACUUCCUCCAUUCAACGAAGAUAUAAAUCUUGGAUAUUUCACACAAUUUAAAUAUAAAUUUACAAUUCUAAAAUAUUUUUUUAAUACCAUAAUUUAAAAAAAAUCAAUUUAUUUCAACAGUAUUGUCUUAAUCAAUAUGAUCAGUAAAUAAAGGUAAACAAUUAUUCAUAAAACUUUUCUCUUUCUGAAACAAUUAAAAAUGUCAAAACUUGUAUUUUUGUGGAAAGGAGUGAGUACCAUGUUAAGCUCAAGGACUUUGGUUAUGUCUAGAGGUACAUCAGGCGGGUAAUCCUGACCGGUGGAUUUGCAUCGGAUCCGCAUGACCACCACUGGCCACGCAGUGAGGAAGAGAAAUUUUAUUGGCAACAUUUGGAUUCUCCAUUCUUCCUGCACAAGUAAAUCAUGUCGGUCUUUUCGUUAGAGUAACCAAAGAAUGCAACCCAGAGCCGUGCCUGACUAGAGGCUGAUCAAGCACUUGCUUGAGGCCAAAACGUAGAUAAAUAGUUUUAUGGGCCAAUUUCUUGGCAAGAGUUGUCUACAGAACAGUUGGUAAUAGUCUGUAUUAUUACUCUAGGGUCCCGGGUUCAAUCACGAGUAUAGCAGUUUGACCUUUUUUCCAAAAAAUUUAUAGUUUAUGGGGCAAAUUUUUUUUAGUGCUUUAGGACCCACAAUAUUCAGGCAUGGCCCUGAAUUGCAACCCCACACUUAUAAAAAUGGAACAUGGAUGUUACCUCGUUAAGCCUAUAGCUUUUGGGUUUAUCAGGAAACAUUGCUUUGAAAACCCUCGACUUAUCCUCCAAAUACUCAUCGAACAACGCCUGAAGUUUCAAAGCAUUACAACACAAACAGUUUUACACUGAUGCAUACAUAUAUAACAUUAUAGAGAUUGAAAGUGAGAAAGAGAUACCAGAGGAGACUCGUGCAGUUGAACAUCGGUAGUUAUUUUAGAUGAAUAUUUGGAGGGUUUUACGGGUGACAACUGACACUUAACUCCCCACCGUAUUGUUCUCAUCUCCACCGCCACCGACCGGCGUCUUCCGAACAUCUUCGGGCAUGACAAAACCAUUGAGCUUACAGCCAUUUUACCAGUCUUUCUCUCUCUUUUUUGGUCUUCAAGAUUGGAUGAUAUUUGAUCUUUCCCACUUUUCUCUCUCUCUAUAUUUAUAUAUAUCUUCAGAGGAAAGAUUGCGUCUUUGCUUCUCUUUAAUACGUUUAGAGACCUUUGUUAAAGAAAAUAGAGACAGAGAGUAACAUUCUCACGGUACGCAUUUGGAAGAUAGUGGAUUUCGAGAAAUAAUUGUUGAAACAUUGCUUUUCAACCUCUAUAGUAACCGGGUACAUAUUCGGUUUGGUUUAAUUGUUUCAGGUUUUGUAAGAAAUAUAAGUCCACUUCAUUUAAUUUAGUUUAGUUUGGUUUGGUUUAGUUAAGAGGUUACCCAUUUAUUUUGCCAUCUACGUGGUGAUAAUGUAAAGCCUCGUCUGUCACGCAGUUGUUGAUGAGAGUGACACGAGAACAUUGAACGUUGAGAAUAAUCUGUAGAAUAACUUCUAUCACACGCAGAGGUUUUGAAAAAAAAAAGAAAAAGAAUUCAUUGCUUUCGAAACCGACAAACUCUCGGACCGAAUACUAAGAAACCGGUUUACUUUGGCGCCUAGGAAUAUGGGUUACUAACUUUGACUUUUAAUGUAAGCAAUAAGCAAAGAUCUCUUGUUGUUUGCAACUCUUUCAACUCUAUAAUCUUUGUUUUUCAGACUGGCUAAGUAAAUUAAAACAUUAAAAUCUUAUAUAGUAUGUUACGAUGACUGUUCAUAAACGAUUUGUUCAUGUUGGAUUGAGAAACUAUACAUGGUUGAGCAUUGACAUUAAAAUUCGGCUUUAGUAGAUAACUUGUGUAAUCUUCUCUCGUUCUUGAACCUGCUAUAAUCAGCGAGCAAGCUCCCAUUAACCUUAUGCUUCAUAUUCUCCACUAAACCUGUCAAAACCUGUAAAUGGGUCCAAAUCAGAUCAUGUGUAAAUCAUAAGAGAUAGUCAAAUAAGGUUUUACAUACCGCACUGGCCAAGUUUCUCCUAACGUCUUCAGGUACCAAUUCAAGAACCGGGGGAAGAACAAAGCUUAUGUUCAUCUCUAGCUGACCUCUGAGCCUUGUGUGCUUUCCUCUCCGGUCUGGGUACAAUGCUCCUUUGACUCCCAAACUGAAGUCAGACGGUUGCAUCACUCGGUCAAGCCCUUUAAGUUGCCAUCUCGUCUGAAAAGAAGCAUUUAAGAGUUUGAGUAAUGGAAGAUGAAGAAACGAAGAGAGAGAAAAGUUAUUACCAUGUUGAGCUCAACAACUUUGGUUAUGUCUAAAGGUACGUCUGCCGGGUAAUCCUGACCGUUGGAUUUGCAACUUAAACGCAUAUCGACCACAGGCCACACAGUGAGGAAGAGGAAAUUAAUUGGUAACAUCUGAAUCCUCCACUCUUCCUGCAAAAAUUCAAUUUAUCCAAGUAGACUUAAAAUAGUGAAAAAGGGGGCGUUCCGAGAAUUGAACUCGGGACCUCUCGCACCCUAAGCGAGAAUCAUACCACUAGACCAAACGCCCGUUUUGAACGUGUUUUAUAUAUAACUAAUGUUAGUCAUAUUAGUUGACGUACCUCGUUAAGCUUAUGGCUUCUGGGUUUGUCAGGGAACAUGGCUUCGAAAACUCUCGAUUUAUCCUCUAAAUAGUCAUCAAACAACGCCUAAAAGUUCCUCAAAAUCACAUUUAAGAAACGCACCAAAACAGUUUAAACUGAAUCGUGUUAUAGAGGGAGAGAGAGAAGGAGACCUGAGGAGACUCGUGGAGAGGAAUAUCUGUGGAGAGUCUUGACGAAUACGUGGCAGGUUUUAUGGAUGAUACCUGACACCUAACUCUCCACCGUGUAAUUGGUCUCAUCUCCGUCUUCACCGGUCGGUAAGUUCCGAACAUGGGCGAUGACAAAACCGCCAUUUCACCGAUUAUCUUUUCAAUAUCAGAACUUUUAUAUAUUCCACAUUUCUCUUUUGAUUUCUCUCUGAAAGUUAAAAACUUUUGAAAGAACUUUUAGAUUUCUCUAGAGGAGUGAAGUUGCUUUUUGCUAGAGAUUUUGGAGGGAUAAGGGGAUAUCUGUCUUUCGGCCUUCUAUGUCGACGUGGCAUAUUUUGAGACUAGCCACAUCAUCAACAUUUGGAAUUCGUAGGGCCCUUCUUUUCUUUGUACUCCUUUCGGACUUUUCCUUUCCGUUAGUGGAUGAGAAUGACACGAGACGAAACUAAAAAAAAAAAAAACUCAAAUGUAUUAUCUGACGACAAAGGAAGGUUCGACAAACUAAACUCAAUCCUUAUUUUACAUUAGUUCCACUGUACAUGUUCUGUCAUAUUAAAAGAUCAAGAAUAUUCAAAUCCUACGAGCAACGCAUUAUAUUGUCGGAUGAAUUUCCUUGAAAGUGUAUGGUUUGAAAUUUCAGGACUGUAGAGGGCACACAGAUGAUCCUCCUAAAGAAUGUAGAUAUCAAACCUUAAGUUCUGUGAUUUGUUCUUCGAUUUCUUGCUUAUAAAAGCAAACUAAAAUGAAAUGUGGAACGUAAAUGCCACAAUUGAUUCACGGCUUCGUUGAGCUCACUUCACUCUCUUUGUUAAAACUCAAAUACAUCUCGAUCUUCUUAGUUCCAACAACCAAAGAGGAUACAAAAGACAAUCUUUCACGGUUUAUUUCUAACAUUAGUAAGAAAAGGACUCGUCUCUUUCUCUCUUAAUUCCUUCACGGUUAAAACCUCAAGUCAAACCGUCAACACACUUAUGGGCCUUAUCCAUUUCCUAACUGGGCCUUAAUUUUAAUUUUAAUUUCUAGUCCAAUCGGUAAUCGCUUCGAUCUGUCGGUAGACAGAAUAGAAUAAUGGUUUCGCCGGUUAAACCAGUCGGCAAUCGGUACGAUCAGAUUGCAUAAAAGCAAAUCAUAAUAAGUCACGUGGCACAGUUUACACGGUUCGUAGACUCGUAGUGGUCGCCAUGUAAACAGCGGGAAAACAGGGCCCCACACAUAUUAACUAAGGAGUAGGACCAACAAAAUCAUCACCACGAAACGCAGCGUUUCCCCUUCGUCUCCGCGUUUAAAAUCUUCUUUCACCCUUUCGUCAUUUCGUCAGAUCCAAGAGAGAGAGAGAGAAAUCAGAAAAAGAUCUUGAAACGAUGCCGUACUACACCAGAGACGAGGAUGAAGUCGACGAUUUCGACGAGUUCGAUCCGACGCCGUACAGUGGAGGCUACGACAUCACCGUGAUCUACGGCCGUCCGAUCCCUCCUUGCGACGACACUUGCUACCCUCUCUCCUCCGCAGCGGAUGAAGAUUUCGAGUACGAGAGACCUGAAUUCACCUCGUACCACGAUCCUUCCGCCUACGCCGAAGAAGCUCUCAACCCCGAGUACAGCAGCUACUCCCGCCCCAAGCCCCGUCCCGGUUUUCGACCCGGUUCUGCCGGAGGCGGUCACGUCCAAGGUGAGCGACCCGAUCAGAGUUACGGAUCCGGUUACGGUGGUCAGACGGAGGCUGAGUACGGUAGGAGACCUGAAUCGGGGUACGGCGGAGCCACGGAGACGGAGUAUGGCCGGAGACCUGAGCAGAGUUACGGAUCUGGUGGAUACGGUGGCAGAUCGGAGGUUGAGUCUGGUGGCUAUGGUGGUAGAUCAGAGGUUGAAUCUGGUGGAUACGGUGGAAGAUCGGAGUCUGGUGGCUAUGGUGGAAGAACGGAGGUUGAGUAUGGCCGGAGACCUGAAUCUGGAUAUGGUGGGAGAUCGGAGACGGAGACCGGGUACGGAUCCGGGUAUGAGAAGAAACCGAGCUUCGGUGAAGAGAGGAGCGAGUAUGAGCGCAAGCCUAGCUAUGGAAGGUCUGAGGAUCAAGAGGAAGGAGGUUACAGGAAGCCUAGCUAUGGGAGAUCUGAGGAUCAGGUUGAGAGCUACAUAAAGCCCAGCAGCUACGGGAGGUCUGAGGAAGAGGAAGAAGGAGGCUAUAGGAAGCCUAGCUAUGGAAGGUCUGAGGAACAGGAGGAAGGGAGUUACAGGAAGCCUAGCUAUGGCCGUCGUAAUGAUGAUGAUGAUGAUGAGGAGCGCAGGAACCGUUCCGGUGAUGAUGAGGAAGGGAGCUAUGGCCGCAAGAAAUAUGUAAGUUCAAUAAGUUAAUUAUAUAAAGUUAUAGUCAAUUUGCAUCUAGAUUAUUGUGUGGAAAUUAAGUUUAUUGAUUGUUUAAACAUAAAACCCUUUUGUUGAUGGACUGAUCUCAACAUUGAAACUAAAGAUUAUAGUUUUGGUGAUAACAUCCAUUACCCCCUUUAACUUCAUUCGUUCAGUAUUUGAUUUAACAUUGACAUCUUGUAGGUUAUAACAAUCAUAGUACAGAACUUGCAUUGUGUUUUUUGCGUCUCGUUUGUUUUGAAAAUAAGUUUUAGUUUGGUUUUGAUCACAGUGUAGCGGUGUAACUCUGUUUUCACAUCCUGAAAUGGAGUUCCUUAAUUUGAAAGCUAUGUUCUACAAUCCCAUAAUAACGUUCCUGGUUCAAUGUUUGUUUGAAUAUAGACAUCUUGAAUAUGUCCCAUUGUUGAUCUUAGUGUAGAGUAGUCUCCAUGUUGAACUAAAGUGUUUGUCUUUCAUACCCUGUAACUCUGUUUUCACAUCCUGUAAUGGAUUAGCCUCGGUUGAAAGCUAAGUUCUUUGAUUGAAAUUGCACAUCAUGUAUAUGACAUUUGAAGAUCAUAGUUACAGAGUAUCUAUCUCCAUUGUUAUGGUGACCGUUAAUAGAGGCAUCACUGACUAAAGCUUUCGCUUAACGUUAUUCAUCUCUGCAUCAAAUUCUGUAGGGUGGCAAUGACUCUGAUGAUGAUGAGGAGAAGAAGCAGCAGCGUUACAAGCAUCACCACCACCAGAGGCGUCGUGAUGAAGACGAUGACUAAAGCCCUCACUCAGUGCUGGAAUCGAGUGCUUCUACUUAGCUUCAUAUUACUAAAUAAAAAGCUAAGGCAUAUUUAUCUUUGGAUGUUGUUGUUGUGUUUGUUUGAUUCUCUCUAGAUACAGCAGAGUCUGUGUCUGGGUUUGUUUCUGGUUCAUUAUAAGACCUUGAAUUGAUAUCGGGUCAUCAUCAUGAUGUUAAACUGUUGCUACUCUGUGUUUCGUUUUUAUUUAUGGAACUUUUCUCUUUUAUGGCUUCUGUUGUUUUGGUUUUGUCGAUAUUAAUAUUAAAAAUCAAAAGUCAUUGCCGAGAAGGAAAAAUAUUUUGUGGUAAAAGCUAGAUUCGAUUUUUUAUACUGAAUAUUUUAUGAUUAAAAACAGAAAAAAGAAAAUCGGUUUUGUAAUAGGAAUGGGUUAAUCAGAUACCUAUAUGUACAUUACACAUCUUUUUGCUUCAACAUCAGAAACUUACAACCAAACAAUUCUAAAAGAAGCAAUGUCAAGCGCUACAGUCCUCGAUGAAUCUAGCGUUCCUAGCCCCAGGAGUACAUGGAGGUGAGAUUCCACUAAAUAUAUUGUUAUGUAACAUAAGAUUUUUGAUUAUAAACAUUAUUAUACUGAAACGAAUUUUCUGGUUGGUUGCAGGAUGGACGGGCAGUUACGAUACGACAUUGCGAUGAACACCAUCAUUAUAAUCCUCAUCACUGAUGCGGUCUUACAUAUGACUCUGAGAGCCCACAAGAUUCCCCUUGCUGAUAACGUUGAGGGACUUUUAUGUACAUUUGUAGUUGCGUACGUGUUUGUCAUCACGACUAAUUGCGGGUAUUGGCUUACAGCAAGCGAGGAAGAAGGGUGUUUACUUGGAAUUUACAUCACGGGACGCCUUGGUCACACGUUAGGCUUUUGUAUUUUCCUCUGUCUCCUCUAUUCUAGUUCUCACUUGGCUAUGUACGUUGCUCUACCUUGUUUACUAUGUUUGGUGCCAGCCAUGUUUGCACCGUGUUGUCCAUGUCUGUGGAGAGGAGAGUCAACUUGGUGGAAUUUUGUGAAGCAACCACAACCAACAGUAGAUAUUGUUUAACUUUUGGACUAUUAUUAUUAAUAGAAUUUUUUAAUUCCUAAUUUUGUAAACAUCUCGUCAAUUGUUUGUUCUUAACUUUUCUCUCUUGCGAUCGGUGAAUUUUGUUUCCACUGUCUACCCAUAAACCUCGUGUUGACAUGUGUUUUGCGAUCUAACAAGAUAUUAUUAUGGUUUAGGGAUUGUUUUAGACAUCAAUCCUCUUUUGAUAUGGCUGAAGAAAAUUAAGAGUUCCUAGUCUUGAUUUGUUCCUGCUUAAUGUAAUUUGGGGAAAGUGAUCAUUUAUCUUUUGGUACAUUAUCAUUGUGUGUUGCAUGCAAAGUAUCAAUCUACUUGGAACUUAACAUUGCGUUAUUUGCAUCUAGCUUGUUUGGAAAAUAAGUUUUAAUUUGGUUUAAUCCCGUUGUUGAUCACAGUGUAGUGUGAUCUCAAUGUUGAACUAAAGAUAUCUUUAGUUUGUUCUUUAGAUUCUUUAUGAGUUACUACAAGCCUUUGUCUGCUUCCCUUUGGUUACAGGCUUGUCAUUACUAGUUGUAGAUCAUCAUUGAUUUUGCAGAACAAAAGAUGCAGAAGCUGUCCCAAAUAAGGACACAAGGACAUAAGUUUGUGCUUUAGAUCCUUUAUGAGUUUAUCUUCAGUUUUUGCGUUUUAGAUCCUUUAUGAGUUAUUACAAACCUCUCGACUCUUGUAAGGACAUAAGAUCUGUGCAUUAUCUGGUUACUGGCUGUACAAAGAGCUUGUCAAUUACUAGGUGUAGAUCAUCAUUGUUUCUGUUUGUUAAGAUGCAUUGAUGACACCUUACUCAUUGAUUCCCGAAACAAAAGAAGCAUAAGCUCUCUGAAAUAAGGCGUGGCCGCAAAAAUGCUAAAGUGUUGGUAUGUAGUCUAAGGCAUAGAUCGAAUAAAGCAGCGUUUUCCUUAUUGUCCCUUUGCUUUGUACAUUUUCUUAUUCACCAGAUUAGAAAAAUGGAUCUUGAAGCCAGGAGCCUUCCACCAAGCAUUAAUUCCAGCCUCCUUGUCAAACUAAGAGAGUUUUCAAGUCUGAUCUCAACAACUUCAAAAGCGAAGUCAAGAGAUCGAUGAGGUCAGCUGAUCGAUUGGGUCGAACCACAGACAGAAUCAAGAGACUGAAGAGCUUGGCGUCUCAGUCCUCCAAGACUUGCACAGUCAGAGACAGUCUUCCUCUCCUACGCACUAACGACACGGUAUGUGCUCUCUUCAACAAUUUUCUCUUACACGGGUUUUAUCAUGAAGAAGAAUACUACGUGUGAUUGGCAUCUCUUUUAACCAAUAGCUCGUUCUCUGAUACAUACAGCUUAGUGGAGUAGACGACAAUGUAGGAAAGAGCAAGAAGACCUUGACAGGCAUGACUAGGAGGAUGAACGGGAACAAAUGGACCAUUGGAGCCAUUAUCACCGCUUUGGUCGCCGCCAUUAUCCUCAUCUUCUACUUCAAACUCACCAAGUAAGCCUCUGUAUCUAAACUCUUUGUCGCUGAACAAAUGGUGUGCUGUAAGUAGUAACAGCUGAUGACGAGGAAGAAGAUAGAAGGAAGCUAAGACUCUGAGGGACAAAGAGGCUUCUGCAGUUACAGUGAAGCUACUGUAUAAAUAAUAUUAUAGAGGGAGUGAAAGAGAGACUUUAUCGAUGUAUUAGCUCAUGCCUCAUAGUUCCAGUUGAUACUCUAUAUUGUGAGAGAGAGUGAUACAGUUGUAUUGUGUGUGUUAUGGAUCAAUAGAGAUUUGGUUCAUGACAUCUGGCUUUUAUCUGUGUGAUAAGUUAUGUCUUUGCCACCUUUUGUAUUAUCACGUUCUCUUGUUUGUGUUUGCGUUUACAGUUGUGUAUUUUUAUACUAAAUGAUGCAGAUUGUUUUGUUUAUUAUUAAAAGCAAGCUUAAAUUACAUUUUAGACAAUUAGAACUUAAGCCUUGAGAAUAAGAACUAGUUGUGUGUUUUUCUUUCAUUCUUGAACCUGUUAUAAUCAGCGAGCAAGCUAUCAAUAACCUUACGCUUCAUGCUAUCCACCAAACCAGUCAAAAUCUGUAUAAACCUGGAAUAUAGCUGGUUCAUAAUAAGACCUUGAACUGAUAUUGGGUCAUCAUCAUGUAAACAGCUGCGACUCUGUGUUUUGUUUUUGUGCUAUGAAAAUUUCUUAUUUUAAAGCAUAACUUCUAUUGUUUUUCUUUUGUCCAUAAGAAAAUUUAUUUUGUCGUUAAAACCAAUGUGACCACACAAAACCACUUAUCUAAUCUAAUCUAGAAACAAUAUGAAACAAGCUUCCUGCCAAAGACAUACACCACAGUUACAACCACCUUUGAAAUCGACAUUCCAAGUAUAAACCAUCUUGGCCACAUGCUGUGAACAGUGGUUGAUCCUUCAGCUUCCUUACGCAGCUGUGAAGGUUCCAAAGAAGAGUGCGAUGACAAGCCACAGUAAGAACCAUCUAGUAUUGAGUUUUCUCCUCAGUGUCUCCGCUUUGUUGGCUUGUGGAGUUGUGCCAAGUUGAAGUACGUCGCCACGAAACCAAUGUUGUUGAGCAGGAGAUAGACAGUGUAACAUCGCGUGUCUCUGAAACGUAUGUAGCCAUUUGAAUCGAGUCCACUAGGUGGACUUGAGAAGGAAGCCACCGUGGUUAGGCCACCGAUGGCCAACACGAACUUGGUAAGUUCUUCUCGCUCUUUGUAAAGAGCCUCCAAAGGAUCCUGAAAUAAAUAAAGCGUAUGUAGCCAUGUGAUGUGGACUUGAGAAGGAAGCCAAUGUGGUUAGGCCACCGAUGGCCAACACAAACUUGGUAAGUUAUUCUCGCUCUUUAUUAAGAGCCUCCAAAGGAUCCUACAAUAAAGUGUACAAAUUUUGUAACUCAAAUCUUUUCCUCAUUCUCAGACAUCUCUCGUAGAAGACAUACUAACCGGUUUGCCUGAGAAAUAUAAAACUAAAUGUUUAAAGUACAUGCUUCUUAUAAAAUCAAUCUACAACUAUUCAAUAAAACUUGAUUUGCUUUUAUUAAACCCAUUAAAAGCAUUUACACACUCAAUCACACAACUAUACUUAAAUGCCACGACUUUCUCUUGUUCUAAAUAACUUUACGUCUUUACAUGUGUCUCAUUUGUAGACUUUCGUUACUACAUGUAACAUUUUUUCCAUGACUUUCAUGACCCGAAAUGAAGCUUUAAAAGUUCGUGAAACUAGUUUUCAAUAUAACAGUUCAUCAACUUAUCAACACAUUUACCUUAAUAUUCUAUGUUCCAAUAAAAUAAACAAACUUACUGCGAUUAUCGACGAAAUGGAGCUGAGGUUGAGGAAAGUCCUUGAUUUCCUAUCUUCAACAAAAAUAAAAAAGUAAAGAAAUGUUUUGCUAUUACAACAGCUUAUGUAGUGAUUCAGAUAAAACAAAAAAAUAAACACAACCUUCUGAUUGAUGCCACAUGAAAAAUGAUCAAUGUCUCUAAGCUUCUCAUCCUAAACGCCUUCCCCAUACAAUUUACAAAAUUUCUUCUCCUCUACAACUUUUGUCGUUAUGCGAAGAUGGUGACCCUCUGUUCAUUAAAUCGAUUGGGCUUUUUUUUCUUUCUUUUUUAGUAUCAUGUGCUUAAAGAUCCUAUUAUAAUAUUCUAAGUACGUUUUUCAUAGACGAGACAUCCCAAAUUUUUAUCUUUACUUUUCCUACACCAAUUCAUAGCUAUUUAUAUUUUGACGCAAACUAUAUAAAAUCGGAUCAGUUUACUCAAAACCCAGUACGUGGCUAAUCGUAAAAGAUACAUAGAAGUAUUCAACAAAUCAUUUCAUAUCAUUCAUUCAUUCACCCACAAAGAGCUCUCAAAUUGGUUUCGCAACUACAAAACAUCGAAUCCGUUCUUGGAUUAGGGUUUUGAGAUUGAGUCUCAUCAAUUUUUUUUGUUUCUUAUUGUAGAAAACUUUCACUUUGAGCUACAAGACAACUACUAGUGAAGGAGACCAGACAGUUCCAGAUCCGUUUCCAAAGUUGUUGGAUAAUUUAGGACCAUCUUUAGUACAUUUGUUCUUCGUCCCUGAGAAAAGAGGAGGAUCGAGUUAGGUUAAAUUUGCUACAGGUUAUGUCAAAUUGUGCGGGAGAAUGUCGGUAGUAAAAUGAACUUACUUAUGCACCUUAGUGUUUGUUAUCACACCUGAGUGUGUUGAGAUUCACAAUCUGAUUUUGAUGGAAGAAAGCGGGAAGAAACUAGUUAGCUACUUUCUUGAGAAUUCAUUUGUUCUCAAGAAACUCAUCCCGCGUUUUAGGGAUUCUUUAAUAUAUCUUACUCAGAUUUCUUCAAGGAGCUUCUUAAAUUCAGAAAGCGGUCUUGCAGUUGUCCGAUUAUUUUUCUUUGAGAAAUUGGCGAUUAGAGUUCAUUAUUUAUUUUGAUUUUGAGUAUCAUUGUGUAUGAAUUUCGUAUGGAUUGUAGAUUUUAUUAAAACCUGUUCCAUAAAGAUUUAUUUUUUGAUGGAAAAAGAGUAAACGACUUUAUAAGAUUUUGUUGCAGUUAAAAAUUAAAAGAUAAACAAAUAUAUAUUAUGUAUUUAUUUAUGAAAUAAGAAAAUUAAUUAAUACUUGAUUUGACAUUGUUAUCUUUAAGAAAUUUUAUACCUUCCAACAUGUUAAUAAAAUUGAUUACAUUAAAUAUAUCAACCGUGGCAGUUACAGCCCCCGAUUAAAGCAUUUGAUCUAGUCAGUAGAUUUCUUGGAAAUCAAGUUUCGAUUCCAUUUCAUUUGUGCAUGUUAAACGCCCUAGUAAUAGUUGUGCUGACUUCAAACAGAUCGGAGGCUUACUGAAUUUGAAUUUGGUCGACUUUGAGAAGGUGAACAAAAUUCGAUUGUGAGUUAUUUCAAAAACGUUUUUAUUGAUAAGAUGAAAAAGAGGUUACAGUGUUUGGACAUGUAAAGUAUAAAACACAAAUAUAAGUUGUUGUUUUUAACACUAGAUAAAUUACCAAUUACUAAUGAACAACUAUACAGAUAAUAAAGAGCCUACAAUACUUUGAAAUGUUCGAAGAGCUUUGCAUAUAAUAAUCUGUAAUAAACAAAACAUAAGUGUAAAAAUCUUUAAACAAUAACCAUUAAACUAUAGUGCUUAUACGAGUCGUAUUUGUUGAAAACAAAACAAGUAUGAGUCGUAUGACCUGAACAAAACAAAAUCGAAUAACAAACCGGAUCUAAUUGACCACUAACCGGAACCGGUUCAAUCGGGAAUUGACUCAAAUCCCAUUAAGCGGCGCAUCGCGAGAAAAAGAGCCAGCAACUGUUCAAAAUAUCUCAAUAGAUAGAUCAAAAAGCAAUCAUGGACACCAUCAUUCAUUAACAAAUAUCCUCUGAAACCUCCGUUUGAAUUAUUUCUAUCUUCUCACAUCGCAUCAUGGGUGCUUCAUCCUCUACAGAUAAUAAAGAAUCAUCGGAGAAGCGAGAAAUCGAAAGCCUCGCUGCUUCCACCGGUGCUCUUCCUCUGCUUCAACGAUUUUUCUCCAAGCUCGCCGAUCCUCAGACCAACACUGUUUCCUUCCAAUCAUUCAAGGUAAUAACGAUUAGGGUUCUGAUUGUUCUUAAAGAGAAUCUGGAUUUGCAGUUACAGUAGUUUUGGGAUUUGAUCGGAUCGUGAAUUAGUGUUUUGACACUGAGUUUGAUCGGAUCAUGAAUUAGGGUUUUGAGACGUUUCAUCAAUUUUUUUUUGUUUUGUUUCUUAUUGUAGAAAAGCUUCACCUUGAGCUACAAGACAACUACUUGUGAAGGAGACCAGAAAGUUCCAGAUUCGUUUCCGAGGUUGUUGGAGCAUUUAGGACCAUCUUUAGUAGAUUUGUUCUUCGUCCCUGAGAAAGGAGGAGGGUUGAGUUGGGUCGAGUUUGCUAGAGGUUAUGUCAAAUGCUGCGGAAGAAUGUCUGCCUCCAUGUCUUACAACACUCUGUUGAGAGUGUUUCAUCUGACAUCUCAAAACGCAGGCUUUUCCUCGAAGCUGGAGUUCGAAUCUGACGAAGCUGAUUGUAAGAUCAACGGGUCGGUUUCCACCGUAGAGUUGGUUAUGUUUCUGUGGAUGUGUUGGACGAUGUCGUGGGAUGGUCGAAGCAGUAGAUCCAGCGACUUGUUUCUUCCUGAUAUAAGCCACUUGGUUAUGUCAGCGCUUGUGUCUUGCACCGAGUCUGGAGCUAGUUUGGAUGUUUGGGAUUCUGAUGUUUUCGGAUUGGAGCUCGAGCUUCCUGUCGGGAAAUUCCUGACGUGGGCAUUGACGACGAUUCCAAGCCUCACUGAGUGUCUAUCUCACUUCUGCAACGCGAGGCUUCAGCAUUGUUUAAAUGCAGAGGUACUCUUUCUUUACCUGUUGCUUUUCAUUUAACCGUAUGGUGUUCACUAAAAGUGGAUUACAGGAUGGAUCUGGGCCUUCAAAGUCAGCUGGUGGAGAUGAUUCUGCGUCCAAGACAUGUGAUAACACUCUUCUAACAUGUGGAAGGGCAUGGGCGAUUUCUUUGACGUCCAAGAAUACCUUAAGUGAGGAGAUCUUGAGCUCAUGCUUUCCCUGCAAUGGCGAUGAACCCAAUGAAAAUCUUCUUUACCGGUAUCCCACUGUCCUACUUCUGUGAAGGUUCUGUCUCUAUAGUGUAACUUAACGUGUUCAAUGUUCAUCUGUCUUUCAGCUCAUACCAUCAUGGGAAAGGCAUGAAUCGAUUGUGGGACAACGUUCAAGGGUAUCAUGCUCCUAUACUAUUGCUAGUUUCUGCAAGCGGUGGAGUUGAGCAGGAGGGUAGUUCAAGCGAGAGGAAGUGGGUCAUUGGUGCUAUCUUGCAGCAAGGUUUUCAGAACAGAGAUACAUUUUACGGAAGCUCUGGGAACUUGUUCUCCAUUAGUCCUGUCUUUCACGCAUUCUCAUCUUCAGGUACUGCACACAUCAGAGAAUUUUCGUAGGCGUAGUCAGUUGUUUUGCAUUAGUGUAGUCUUAUAUGGUUUUGUGUUCAACUUCAGGGAAAGAGAAAAACUUUGCAUAUAGCCAUCUUCAUCCCUCUGGUAGAGUCUAUGACGCAAACCCAAAGCCUGUUGGAAUUGGUUUCGGGGGAACACAAGGAAACGAGAGAAUCUUCAUCGACGAAGACUUUGCUAAGAUCACAAUCCGUCAUCAUGCAGUUGAUAAAACUUACCAGCCUGGCUCUCUCUUCCCAAACCAGGUAACGCAAGUGCUGGUCUAUAUAUAUGAUUCAAGUUUUGUGGUCUUGGAUAUUUAUAACAUCUGUUGUUGCAGGGUUAUUUACCAGUAGAGGCUUUGGUGUCAGAUGUUGAAGCAUGGGCAUUAGGUGGAAAAGCAGCUAAGGAAGUUCAAGAAGCAUACAAGAAAAGAGAAGAGCUUUUCACUGACCAACGUCGAAAGGUAAGAAAAGAUCAAUAAGAUCUAUUUAUGCAAAUGCACAAAAGGACUUGCAAGUUUGACAAGUUGUUAUAUGUAUCUACAGAUUGAUUUGAAGACGUUUACGAAUUGGGAAGAUUCACCUGAGAAAAUGAUGAUGGAUAUGAUGGGGAAUCCUAAUGCUCCGGCUAGAGAAGAGAGGUAAUGAGUGAGGGGAGCAAGACUUGUUUGGUAUAUUUAUGCACAUACGUUUUCUCAAUAGAGGUUUCGUCUGUAAAGUAUAUAUUUGAAGAAACUCAUUUGCUGUUUGCGUAAGUUAUGUUUACUAUUAUCGUUGCCAAAACUCGAACCAGAGUGUUGAGUUUGAGAUUUACCCAAUAAAAAAGAGUUUUAUUUGAAGAGUUUUAUAGACGUUACAAUGAAUCAACAAGUAGAUAAUUGUGGUUUUAAGUUUCAACUAAGCAACUCUUUUCGUGUGAAAUGGUUUCCAGAGCUCUCUGCUUUCUGCUGAGAAUCAUCUCCAUCACUUUAUUCAUAGACUUGAUCUCCUCCUCUGCCUUCUUUAUCUUUCUUUCCUCCGACUCUUAUCUUCUUUCUUCUUUCUUCUUACCAAAACCAUUUUACUCUUUUCUUCAUCUCUUGCCUCACAGAUCCUACAACAAAGAAGGCCAUACCAAAACUUGGUUUUCUCUAAACCGAAUCAAUUUUAGUUAUAGUUCGGUUCAUCCUAACCCAAAAAAAAAACUAAAUGGCUUAAAAAUCGGUUAGACCUGAAUCUGGUUGCGUAAGCCUUUGGUAGAAGGUGAUGAACUUCAUAGAGAAGCUGUACAAGGGGGAUUAAAAUACUUGGUUUCUCUCCCAUUCAAGUUCCCUUACCUUUCUCUCACAUUCUUCUCUAUCCAUUCUCUAUCCAUUGUUCCUGUGUUAUUGUUAUUUUCUGGCCAUCUCAACCACCUAUGUAACUUCCCCAUCUGUUCUAGAGAAAUAGACCGAUGUAACUUCCCCAUCUGUUGAGUGGUACGGUAUUGUGCUCAAAGUCCCCUUGAAUACUAAAUUGGAAAUGUUGCUGUUGCUACGGUUUUGACGAUAGAAUAUAACUCAUAUGACAGGUUGGAAACUGAAUUAUUUUCUUUCAAACCAUGUCUUCAAAUCGAUCACAUUAGUUUUGGUUUUGCUUUUUGUUUCAAUGUUAAAUCAAUGUCCAUAAAAUUGGUUUUGUUCUUUUAUACUCUCACUAAAAAUAGCAGCAUUCUUAUUAAUAGAUGUAUACAUUGUGACAAAACUCAAUUCUAGUUAAUACAUCCUCUAUUUUUGAUGAAAAAUAUAAGUUAGAGAUGCUCUUACACAUUGAAUCCACAAGCUAAUGACCAACAAACUAGUUUAUUCAAAGUGCAUAAUUUACUAGCAAAACCUCCAUUAAAAACAGUGCUUGACAAACAUGAAUUCUCUCUUUCAAGCUCAAGAACAACGCUUAAACAAUAUAUGUAUCAGGUAGGAUUCAAAAGCUCUAAUCCGAAACAUGAAACAGAGUAUCACAAGGACAUGCAUAGGUAUUCAAAGCCUUAUCUGCUAUACUUCCUUUUAUCUGCUUUAAGUUUAUCCCUAAAAUCACACCAGUAUGUUGGCUCAUCUUGCAAAACAAGCCUCACCAGCUUCUUAUUGAGAAAAUGAAGACAUGAAUUAAACUUCAUGGUUUCUGAUCAAAAGUUGACAUCAAGAAAGAAACAAUACAAAUCUAUAUGUCCCAACCUGAAACCCAAAGCUUGAGACACAUAUCAAGAGUUAUACAUACCCAAAACUGAACAAGAGUAAACCCAAAUCAAGCGAGCAAGCAUAUCAUUGCUUCUUGUCUUCUGCUUUCCUCGGCUGCAAAAAAACAACAAACCAAACCAACACACACAAAGAUCAGUUCUCUCUUCCUCUCACAAUGAUAAAAUGUGUGAAAAGACAAACGGACCUUAACACCAGGAGCUUCUUGGUGAAUCUCUUCCUCAGGGAUGAUGACAGGCCACUGCUCCCCGGCUUCACGGAACAUCUGCUCCGUCUCGAGAUACUGCCCUUUAUCAAGAAUCAUCUUCCUGAUCGACUGAGCCGACGUGGCAGCCGCAUCGAAAGCUUCCUCGACACCAUUGACGAAAGUGACACUGAUCUGCGGUGGCUGAUCGUCGGUUCUGCGUUUCACCAGAACCUGACAGUUAGGGUUGGACUCUUUGGCCUUCCUCGCGUUGCACUGAGCCAAGAACUCGACGCAGGAGGCGAGUCUUGGGUCCAAUGUGUUGAACUCGAUCUUUACUUUUGAUAGGAACUUCAACAUCCUCUUCUCAAACCUAAAACAGUCAUUGAUAACAAAUCGUGAAGCGAGAUCUGAAGAUGAUUUCUACCAAAAUCUGAUAACCCAAUGAAAUUAAUAAGUAUACGAAAUUAAAUUGUGGGUUGAGAAGGAGAUCUCUGACUUACACAGGUCGACGGGGGCUCUCCGGCGAGAAUUGAUUUUAAGGGGAAAAUGCAGAAGAAACCGAUGCAGGUGGAAGGAAGACUGAAGAAAAGGGUUUUGGGCUUUCGACUGUGUAAAAGGACGAUAGUACCCUUAAUAUUUAUUCCCCUUUGCUUCGGUUUGGUUCGUUUUUCUGAUAGAGCCGCAGAGAAUUUUUGCAAUAAGGAUAGAUAACUAUUUUGAUUUUCUUGUAAUUGCAUUAACUUGAACUGAAGUACAAUGUUACAACGCUUAGGAAUCUAAAACAAAGCCCGAGAGAAAUAUGGGAGACACACUGCCGGCAAAGACACACCUUUCCAGAACCAUGACACUAAACAAGAGAAAUAAAGAAACUACAACAACAUAGACAACAAGAUUUUCAUCUAAAAACUUCAAUCUUUCCAUCAACACUGAUGAUAGGACCACGGCAAACCAACAUUGAAGAAAGGGAGAUAGCAAACCCCAACAGAAGUGUUAAAAACACCAGAUAAAGCACCAUUGGAAUAAAGGAUAAGGUGAUCUCUUGCUUAACCCUUGUCCCAAGGUAAUCAGAGACCCGGCGAAGCCACAAGUUCAAUACACCAUCCUACAAACAACUGUUGGAGACAACCACUCAACAAACCCAAACACUGGAAAGAGCAUGACACCUCAAAGAAACUACAAACCCCACUUCACAACCGGCAAGCGCAAAGAAGUAACCAGAACACGAACAACGCUCUGUAGCACCGGAAAAAAAAAACUGAUUUGGAGGAAGAAACAAAGCUAAUAUUGGAGCCACAAAGGAGACGACUCCCUUCCUACAGUUUCAUAAUGAAACACACCCGACAGGAAUCUGAACUUAUCAAGAAGAGGUUAGCAGCACAAAGGCAUUGCCCUCACUAGACGCCAAGAAACCCCAACCCGCAUGCGAGAACCGAGGAGAGGCCAGACCAGAACCCAACAACAUCAGAAGACUGCAUACCACCACACGAUCAGAGAACCGACGCAAAGACCAUCGAAAAGCAAACUCCACCAGAUCUACUACCACCCACAAAGAAAUAGGGAUGGCAAUAAAUAAUCUGGACCGCGGGCCUGACCCAUAAAGACUUACUGCGGGGCGGAAUCGGGCCACCUUGGUAAGCCCGCAAAAUAUAUAUGUAUUUUUUUUUUGAUAAAUGGUCAUGAAAACACACGAAGACAUUACAAAAUGAAGAUGCGAGUAUAAAUUAUACUAUCGUGAAAUUACAUCGCAGCUAUGAAUAUUACAUUUAUGUAACUUUAAAAUUUUAAAUUAUAUAUCUUCUUUGAAACGUUUGUCAUUUUUCUAUUAAUUUGGAGUAUUUCAGACCUGUGAAAAUCAUAAAUUUUAUCUUCUGUUUGGAUAUUUAAAUAAUCUGUAAAGCAUAAUUUCAUAUUAAUCUGUAAAGUAUAAUUUCAUAUCUACAAAAUCCUCUUGUAACCAACUAAACUAGAGAAGAAUUUAACAAAUAGUUGGCCCUUUAAAUACUUUAAUUAUCUAAGCCCCCAAGCACAUGCUUUACUUGCUUCCAUUCAGAGCAUCUAAAAAAAACUCUAUUUUGAAGUUUCUAAAACUCUAUAUUUGAAGUUUUAAGGUGUUUUUCUCCAAAAGCAAAACUUCAAACUUAACUUCAAAGCUAUUUGUAUUUUAUAAUAUGGUCCUAAUUUAAAUUCAUAAAACUUUUGUAUAUAACUAGCACAUAUGUAAACAUAUUACAAUAAUAUUAAUUAAUGAAAUAUUAUAUUAAAAUAUAAAAAUUUAAACAAAAUAACUUAACUAAUAUUAAACUUCAAGCAAAAUACCAUAUUAUUCCAUAAAGUGAUUUUCGUAGUGCAUAUAUGAUCUACUAGUGCAUUUUGAAUUAAAAAUAGUUUUCCUCAUUUUUAAUUUGUAGAUUAUAGAUAAUAAAUGUUGAAAUCGGGAGAUAUUAAUACUUGUAAAUACAUUAGAUCAGAACAAGAAAGUAAAAGACAAACAUAAAAUAUUUCUAAAAGACUAACUUUUAUCGAUGAUAUUAAUACUCGUGAAUAUAUUCAAUAUGAACAAGAAAGAAUUGUACGAAAAGAUAUCAUCAACAAAAACAACAACCAUCUUCAAUUACACCAAAAAACUAGACAAUAUUUGAAAUUUUGAAGGUUCCAGAUCAAACUUACCUAACUAUUAGUGUUAUUGUAUUAUUCAAAUUUGUGUAAUAGUUAUGUCUUUAUAUAAUUUUUUAAAAGUUUUUUUGUUAAGUUUCUUUUGUAUAUUUCUGUUAUAUAAAUCUAGUUUUAAAUAUUUUAAAUAUUCUUUUAACAAAAUACAAAUAAAAAUAUGAAACUUCAAAUUUGAAGUUUUGAGUAGUGAAACUUCAAAUAUAGAGUUUCACCUCUCAAAACUUCAAAUUUGAAGUUUUGAAGUUCAUUUUUAGAAAGUAAAAAGCUUUAUAUUUGAAGUUAUAGAGUGUCUUUUGUAGAUGAGCAUGGCUCUAUGUCUACUACUAUACUAUGUGAUUGUAAUUGGUUUAAGAUAUUUAAAGGUGUAUAGUGAUUCAGUUAUUGUUUAUGUAUUUAGGCAGUGCUGAAAAAUUAAUUCACGCAUGUUCAAUUUGAUGUUAGCAUUUUAAAAUCAGGUCGUAUGAAAGCAAGAUGAUCACCUAGACAAUUUUGAGUUUGACAUAACAAUAUAAUAUUUGAUAAAAUCUUUCAAACUUUGUUAAUAUGCUCACAAGUCAUAGUAUUACUAUUUGGUUGGUGGCCUAACACAUGUCUUUCGUCAUUGUGAAUAACAGUAAACAAAAUUGGUUUCUCACUUCUCUAGUUUCAAGAUAAAAUAUAGUAAUAAAUUUAAUGUUCUGGGUGGUAAAUUAUGAAAAAGAAGCAUCUCAUUAUAGAAACCUUUUUGGGUUAAGUAAAUGUUAUAAUCAUUCAAAAUUAGUUAUAAACUAGUAGAUUGCUGUCCAAAAAAAAGACUAGAUUAGGUCUAAGCAUUGCACAAGACAAAUGUAUUUAUUAUAUUAUUUAACUAACAAAUCUAUUAAAAUGCUAAUUCUACAUUGCAAAAUAAAUUGACUUCAUUAUUUUUUACAAAAAAUGUAACAAGAAUCUUCAUAUCUCACACGAACACAUGAAUUACAAGUCUACAACAGAUAUUACACCUCAGAAAUUCCAAAAGCAACCCGAUUCUCCCAUACCGGCUAAAGCGGAGGGGUCAGUACCAGUACCGGGGAACUGGGUUUCGUGACUGUUAAGCAACAGUUUCAUUAGCGAAUCAUUGUCUGUUAGAAACAGAGGAUCAGGGUAAAACAGAGGACCAGAACCGUCUUUGGACUCGAGAUGAAUGAGUCUUUUAUCUUCGGUUUCUUGGUCGGAGAAGCAGGUCACGUGAGUAGACGAACCAGGGAAGGAAUCUCGUUGAGAAGAAUCCAUCAACGAAGGUAAUCCGACCGGUUCAAUCCGGUUAACGUGUGAAUCAAGCAACAUUAAAUGGGACAUAUCAACCUUUGUACCAUCGGCACGUUUAUGGAAAACACGGCAAAUAACCCAAUCGUUCUACAUUCACACACAACAAAACAGAACACAAAAUAUCAAUUCAAUUCCACACAAAAAAAGACAAAAAAUGUCUUUGAUGUUAUUGUUACCUUAGCUGUCUGGGAGAGAUGUUGGAUAGAAUAUAUGCCUUCUAAUCGAUAUUCAUGCAUAACCCAAUUGGUUCUUACUCCUUUAGGAGCUCUUCCUUUGUAGAAAACCAGAGUCUUCUUCAUACCCACAAGUGAUUUCCCCUUGAAAAUCUCUUUAUCUUUGCCUGUGGCUUUCCAGUAACCGGCUUCAGUUGCCCGGUUUGUCCUUAAACCGGUUGGGUAUUUCCGGUCUCGCACACAAAAGAAAUACCAUUCUUUCUCCCCUAUCUUAGCUUUCCCUAUUUCACCAAAAGCCAUCACAUAUAUAUUUGUGAGUAAUAAUAAAUUACAGAACAAUAAUAACUAACAUAAAAAAGUUUAAAAAAGGUGGAAAAAGUUUAGAAAAGGCAUGAUACUUCAUGCAGUCUCAAACCAUUUGUAAAGUUUUGUGGAAUCAUGUAUAUUAAACAUAUAUAUUAUUUUUUUUUAACUUCAGAUAUAUAAAUUCAUAUUUACAGCUUUUGUUAUAGUACAAACGUUUUUUAAUUGCUGGAAAGGUUGUACACUUACUUGGUAACUCCCAAGGCUCGAUCUUGUUGAGAUCAACUUCACCAAUGGCGGUGGCAGAGAAGAAAGUGUUGAAGACCUUUUGUUUGAGAUAGUGAGUUAUGAGUUCUUCAUCAGUAGGGUGAAAUCUGAAUCCAGGUGGCAGAUCAAUUUGCUCUUCAUCUUCUACUAUUUCACCGAUUCUUGAUGCAUCGUAAUCCAUUUAUCCUAAUAAAGUUUAUUAGAAACAAUCAAAGUUAUGUAAGAGAGAAGAGAAGGGUUUUUGAAGAGAUGAAUAAAAGGGUUUUGAAGAGAGAGAGUGUGUUUUUUAAGAGAGAAGAGGAAAGGGUUUGAGCAACGAAGCUCCUCUCUAUAUACUAGUUUUCCAUCAGAGAAAUAAGGAAAUAAUAUUAUUAUUGUUGAUAUUGACCAAUAAUUGGUCAAUCUUUUGUGUAUCAAGUUCUUCUUUCAAAGUUUCAAACUAUGAGUUGUAUUGAAUUUCAAGAGUUUUUACCUACUAUAAAGAAAACUUUUAUCUUCGCUCUAAAUGAUUUAUUGUAUAUAAAUGGGUUUUCCGAUUUAAAUCUCGUACAGCCAUCAAAUCAUAUUAUAAAUCAGAAAAUGGGUGUACACACACAUUAACACAUACUAUAGUUAGUUUUCUUAGUAUGAUAGAGAAAGAGGAAGAUGCGUCGAUUGUUAGGCAACUUAAGAUGUGUAAUAUUCAAUAAUCAUUUCUCAUCAUUAAAAAUAAACCUUUCUAUUUCAAGAACUUUAAUAUUUCCAAGUUUCAAUUUGACCAGGAACACUUCACCUGUGGCUCCCUGUCCCUUUUUUGGUUAAUGUGAUAAGAACAAUCUUAUCACAUUAAAUCCUGAUGUUUUGUCCAUUCUUGAAACUAAUUAUUAGUUGCUGGAAAAAGAAUAUCAGUAGAAAACUAUGAUUAUUGGUUUGAAAACAUUUUACAUUGAAACUAUAUGAUUAUAUAAUUGAAACAUUAUAAAUUACCGCGGGUCACUAUUAUUGGUGUUGUGAUUCAGGAUAACUAUGAGAAAAGAGUUUACCAUGGUUGGAUAUAAUUUGUUUUAUUUACUUAACAAGUGUUAUCCCUCUCAUGAAAAGAUUAUGCAUGCAUGAACCUUGGAAAGUAGAUUCUUUAGUAUUAAAGGAACUCUUUUCUUUGUCCUAUUACAGUGCCUACCGUUAUAAGAAAUUAUAAUACUAGUAUGCAAGAUUUUUUAAAAAAGUUCAGUGAAAAAUUGGAAAGAAAAACGAUUUCCUUGUGAAGAUGGGUAAUGAUGAUGAAUGGAUGAGGAUUGUGAUGAUGAAAAUCUGUUAGAAUGUGAAGACAUUUUGAACAACCUCAACCUUAUCAUAUGUGAAUUAUUUGAUUUUUUUAAUGAUCGAAUCACGCGUUUGUGCAUACGAGGUUGUCAUUUGUCACUUCUACAACAUGUGCAUUUUAUUCUUUUCUAGCCAAAUUUCUUCCUCAGUAUUUUUAUUAUACUUGCUGUUUAAAUCCUUAUAUAAUCGAUGUAUUGGUAUUUUUAAUCAACUAUAGUUAUCAUAAAUUGGAAUUUGGAUCGAUACUGGAUAUAUAAUUUAUAUCUUUCUAUUGCACUCUUUUCUUUUCAACUAAUUUCCCAGACUCAAAAGAGAAAAGAUACAUAAGUUGCCAGAAAAAAAAUCAAUGUAUGUUUCACACUAAAAGAGCUAAUGACAAAAUUCAUAGUACAACAAAAAGAAUAUCAAUUCUAGAAGGCCAUAAAGCAACACUCAAGUGAUUGAUGGAACACGUGGAUUUUUCAAAUUAUGUUCCUUCUUCUCAAAAACCCGUUUAAGUUUCCUUGCCUUUUUGACCAAAUUCCCCAAUCUAUCAUUUGUCAAGUUGCUCCUCCAAAAAAUUGCUUAUACUCUUUUUAACAGAGAUGAGUAGGGUUACAUAGACAAAUUGGUUAUAUAUAUUAGGGGUGGGCAAAAAACCCAAACCGAACCGAACCGAACCAACCAAACCGAAGUUAAACCGAACCAAACCAAACCGUGCUCUUUAUGUAACCCAAUUGGUUCAUGUUUUACUCAACCCGAACGGUUUGGUUUGGUUUGGGUUUAAACCGAACCAAACCGAACCAAACCGAUAAUCCAAUAUAUAUAUAGUAAAAAUAUAUAUGAUAUAUAUAUAUGUAUUAACAUAUUGCAAAUUUUAGUUAAAGUUUCGUUUUUCAUUUUUUCAUAACUUCCAUAUCUUUAAAAAAAAUUAUAAAUACGAUUCAAAUAAUACUAUUAUAUAUAAAAUCAUGUAGCAUAAGUUUUUAUAUUCUCACUCUAUCGUUUAUGAGUUGAUUAUUUUUUAAUAAAAGUAUAAAACUAAUGCCUUCAUAUUUUAUAACCAACCCAAACUACACCGAACCAAACUAGACCAUAAUAAUGUAAACCAAACUAAAUCUAAACCAAACCGAACUGAACCGAACCGAAUUAAACCCAAACCGAACCCAACCCAAAGCUACUUUGGUUUUAAUUGGUUUGAGUUUUAUAAAACCCAAAUUACCCAAACCAAACCGAACCCAAACCGAACCCGAAACUAAACCGAAAUGCCCACCCCUAAUAUAUAUAGGGGUUAUUUGUGAAAUAACCAAAAAAGAGUAAUUAGUAUUUUUUAAUGAGAGGUUAGAAAGAAAUAGGAAGAGAAAUGAGGAAAGAGAUGGUUGUUUUGGUUAGAAAAUGAAUUUGAGGUUUUUAUGUAUAUAGGGACAUAUUUCCCUUAUAUACUUUUUGUUUUCAAAAACAAAAACCAAUAUAACUACCGCAUCAUUAUUUUUCAGUUUGUUACUGUGAAUGUUUUUGAUUUGAACGCCAUUGACUAGAUCAUGUCCAACUUCUUCAUGACCAUUAUUCCACUAUCUCUUUAUCAUGGCCUAAAACCUCGCGCAUUCAUAUCAAAAAUCUCAUUAGAAUCGAAUUGGAGAGUUUUCAAAACUCUAAUGCUUCUCCAUAUCAAACAUCUCAUUAAAAUCGCCAAAUAUUAUUCACUACUUCUUAGUUCUUACCUAUUAUGGGAGAGUUGUGAUGAUCCAUCAGUUCCCCAUAUAGAACUUCUACCGUUAUCGCUCUUCCUCGAAGUUAGAAGCGUAAAGUGUUUUAUGAUAAAAAGACAGAAAGGAAAUGGGAUGGCAAGAAACUUAUAGAAUUUUUGUUAUGAUCUAUAAUACAAUUAUUAUUACUUCGAUUUGUUUGAUUAUUUUUUACUCGUGGUUCUUUUACUAAUUGAUUAGUUAAGUUUGGCUACACUUGUUGUCUUAUAAGAUUGAUAUCGUAGAAAAGUGAGAAGCUUACAAAUCAGUUUGACGUUUUUGAUUGGGACUCGGAUAUAGUGGAUUCAGAGGAAGUGGAUGAAGAUUUCAUUGUCGACCUAAUGACUCUAUCAACUAGCAGACUUCUUUAGGAUAGGUUGGUGGCAAUUUCUGAAAUGCAACAGAGAUGAAUGCUACUUUAAGCUCAACUCAACUAAGGCAAAAGGAAGUCGAAUACAUAGGAAACAUGGUUGACGUGGUGGGUUUGGCUAACCUCACUAUGGUGACCAUGGAUAUCCUCUAGAUAGUUUUAGCUCUUGCCCGUUUCACUUUUAAGCAUUCAAGUUGCUUACUUGUUGCUUGUAAAACCUUUUCUAAAUUGCAACUGUUGGCUUUACUGUUGGCUUAAUAUAUAUGUACAAUGAGAAGGUCUAUUAAUAUUCAAUGGUGUGAGUUCUUCUACACACAUUUUCUUAGUGUGAGCCCGUCCCGUGCAUCAUAAACGUAGACCUCAUGUCGAAGUAGAACAUUCAAUUAUUUUUAUGAGAUGAGAGCAUAUAUCUACUACGAACAAAAUGCAUAUUAUUUUACUAAACAAUUGGGACGAAGAUAAUUUGUAUUAUUCGUUCCAAGUCCAACUGAGACAUUUUUUGCCAAUCAAUACAUUAUAUUAAAAUCUUCAAAUGAAGAUGAUGCAUACAAUACAAAAUUGAAAAGAUAAAUGGAAUGAUAAAAAGUUAGAAAAGAAAAGUAUAAGCCUAACAUCCAUGAGUCUCUAGCCUACUUCAAUUCUUGAAUGGAGCUAAACCAGACUUUCCAGUGGUAAAUAAAACUGAAACGUUCUUCUCGAUUAAUUGAGAUAUGUUGGCUAUUAACAAUGAUGAGUUCAUUUGCUAAGAACUUUAUGCUAUUUUUUUUUUAAUCAAAAUUUCUAAAGCUAAUCCUUUUUUCUAACACCUUUCUAAAGCUAAUCAAUCGUUUCCUUUUGUUUUAGGCUUUUAGCAGUUCUUUCCUUUUCAGGAAAUAUAAACUAAAUUCUAUAAAUCUUUUGCUACUUGGUGGUGCCAAAACCACGUGUCGCUUGAUUUUUUGAAACGGCAAGAGUUUCAUACGUAUCGCCAACCCCAACCUUCUCUUGGACACGACACAAGUAAGACGAAUUCCAAAAUAGACACGUGUUUGGAUACAAAUGGGAGUUAAUAAGUAUCAAACGCUAUUCUUAAUUAUCGUAAUUCAGUUGCUGAAAAGAACUGAUUUAGCUAAUUAAGUGGAAUUUCACUAAUUAAAGUUUGACCAGCUUCCUGAUUCGAAACAUGAGUUGCCAGUGGGAACAAACACGACUCAAAACUCCGUUACCAUGAUUCUGUGCAAGACCCAAUGGAGGAAAUGAUGGAUGCAGACUCUUCAGGAUGAUUGCAUGAACUUUGACUGACGUAGAAGUCCGGUCCACAGAGAUCCUAAGAGUUUUAAAUGUUGUUUCGAUGAGUAAUGCAUAACACUAUUAAUUAGUUUCCAAAAUUGGACUGGUUAAGGUAUUCUCAAGAUGAGUUAUAUUGGGUGCUAGUAUUGUAUAUAGGUUUAUUCAGUACGCUAUAUCUUUUUGUGGCGAUGUUUUGUCCUGAGAGAUUCUUUUAUCACUACAAGAAAACAGCUUGUUUCCUACAGACGAUUUAGUCGAAAUAAGCCAUUUCUGAUGAAUUUCGUUGGUUCUAUCUCGUCGAAAAAAAAACGUUUGAAUUUCGUCGGAUUUCUGACGCAUUUCCGACGGACAAAUUUCCGACGAAAUACCGACGAAUAAAUUUCCGACAAAAUACCAACGGAUAAAUUUCUGACGAAAUUCUGACAAAUCUUAUCCGUCGAAACUUUUGUAAACUAUUUUUAAAAUAAAAUAAAUUUUAUUUUAAAUAUAAUAUUUAAUGAAUUACGUAUAACAAAUUUUAAAAAUCAUUUAUAAUAAAUAUUUUUAAUUCUUUAUAUAUAAAUAAAAUAAAAUUUAAAAUUAGGAAAACGUUUUAACUAAAUCUUUUUUGUAAUUGAACCCAUUUCCUAGAAAUUAAAAACAUUUUAAUUAAAUCUAAAAAAAAACAAAAACUUUUUAUAGAUUGAAAAGGUUUAAAAAAAUGUGAAAAACGUUUUGAUAAUCUUUAGUAACCAGAAAAUGUUUUAUAAAUUAUAACAAACAAUAAAAACUUUUUAUAAGAACUUAAAUUUUUUUUUUUGAUGAAUUUUUUUUUUAAAGUUUAAAACGUUUUAUAAAAUCAUAAAAACGUUUUAAAACAACAAUAAUAAUAAAAACUUGAAAAUGUUAUAUAUAUAUUUAUUUAUUCUAAUAAAACUCCAAAAAUGUUUUAAAAUUUGAAAAAACAUUUUAUAAAUAACAAAAAAAAGAUUCACAAAACAACAAAUUAAAUAAACAAACUACAAAAUCACAAGCAAAACCUAUCUAAACCACAACAUAACAACAAAAUCUAACAUCUAAUUCAUAAUAUUCUUCAUCCUAACAUAAAUCCAACAUUCAAAACCUUAAAUUCACAAUUUCACAAUCAAAAAGUAACAUAAGUCAAAUGAGAAAAGGAAAGAGAUGACUUACAUAAUUUGUGAGGUGGAUUUGAGGAGUUUGAGCUUAGAAUCGUUGGAUUAGAGAGAGAGAAUCAAAGAGAAUUUGUGUAUGUUUAGAGAGAGAGAGAGGAGAAGUGAGGAAGAAGAAGGGGCUUGCGCUUUUAUAUUAAAAAUUUCUGACGGAUUGGAUUCAUCAGAAAUCCGUCAAAAUUUUUUAUUUUGACGUUUCACGAAAAAUUAGGCAGGGUUUUUCGGGGCAAAUUUCAAUUUCCGACGAAUAUACCAUUUUCGUCGGAAAUUCGCCGGAAUAUAUCAUUGUCGUCGGAAUUCGACAGAAAUAUAUUUGUCAGAAAUUUCCUACGAAUUUUGAACGAAUUAUAAUAGCCAUCGAUAAUAAAUUGAUGACUUUUAGGGUUUAAAAUCUUCAUAAUGUUUAGAAACACUUGAAAACACACAAACUAAAGAUUGCAAGAUGGAUCACCGAAAAGUAUUUGCUUAAGUGUAUAAGUGUUAACGAGAAAUAUUAGGUAUCCGUCCAUGCAUCAAUCGCAAGAAUAUAUAUAUAGCUUAAAUAAUUGAGGCAAUAUUAAUCUACAUCAUAUUUAUCACUUAAUAUAUCCGGAUGAACAUUUAUUUUGAAUAUUUCAUAUCUAAACUCAUGGUCGUCGAAAAUUCGUUGGAAAUUUGUGUCGAAUAUGCUACGAAAAUUUCGCAAUCCAUCAGAAUUUCGUCGGCAAUUUUCUAGGAAGAAAUUUGUCAAAAUUUCGUCGGACAUUUCUGACGAAUUUCCUACAGAAAUUUUUCAUUUCGUCGGAAAUCCGUCAGAAAUUUCUGAUGAAUUUCCGACGAAAACAUAAACCCCAAAUCUAUACCCUAAAUCGUGUAAUCUUCCUUGGGAGUCGUCGGUAUUUUGUCGCUUAUUUUUGAUGAAAGAAAGUUCGUCGGAAAUUCCUAAGAUAUUUCCGACAAAUGGUAAAAUUUUAUAUUUCUCGAAAUCCGUCAGAAAUUUCUCAGAAAUUUCCGACGAAUAUUUCUUCCGUCAGAAAAUGAAUAUGUUUUCUUGUAGUGUAUUGCACAUGGCCAUUUGCUAAUAAUCCAGUUUUAUGGAAUGGAUCUUGUGUGUUCACGAGGUUCAUGUGGCAGUCUUUUUCAACGAUUGGGACUUGGCUUUGUUUUAACUAGUUUUUCUAGGUGUUCCGGAUUAAUGAAAAUUCUAAGUUGGAAUUGCAGAGGACUCAGGAGUAAAUGGAUUAUUAGUUAUUUGAGAGAAAUUAGGGGGAAAUAUAAACCAGCGUUUCUAUUUUUAUCGGAAACCAAACAGCAAUUUGAUUUUGUGCAGUCUUUUUAAUUUCAUUUUGGAUAUUCUCAUCUCCAUACGGUUGAUCUUAUAGGGAGGAGUGGUGGGCUGGCUCUAUUUUAUGAUUCCACUUAUAAGGUAUAUAAACUCUUCAAGCAACAUAAUUAUAGACGUCGAGACAAAAUAUAACGGAAAAUGAAUUUUUAUUUCACUUGUUUAUGGCGAGUCAAAUCAAAAUUUUAGAGACCAGAUUUGGGAGAGGCUUACAAUAGGGAUCUUGAGGGACGAACCAUGGUUUAUUAUUGGAGACUUAAAUGAGAUUACGGGUAAUCAUGAGAAACAAGGAGGAGUUCUUAGACACGCAGAUACGUUUUUACAAUUCAAUAAUAUGAUAGAGAACUGUGGUCUGAUGGAGUUUCCAAGUCUUGGUAAUACUCUUUCUUGGAACGGAAGAAGAGCUGGACAUGUGUUAAGUGUCAACUGGAUAGGGCAUUGGCAAACAAUGAAUGGCAUAAUCUGUUUCCUUGCUCUUUUGUUGAAUACUUGGGUAUGAUUGCCUCUGAUCACAGGCCGAUUGUGGCAUCAAUAGAGGAUAAAGUACUAAACUUUUGACGGUAAUUUAGAUUUGAUAAAAGAUGGAUAGGUGAGGAUGGACUGAUGGAAUCUAUUGAACGUGGAUGGUCCACUCAGAGGGGUGGACGCCGCAUGGGUAUAGUAGAUAAAAUUCAUAAUUGUUGACAUGAAAUUUCUGUUUGGAAAAAGGAAAAUCCACCUUAUGGGAAGGAAAAAAUAAAUACUCUUCAGAGGGCUCUGGAGGAUGAUCAAAGCGAUUUGACAAAAUCUCUUGAAGUAGUGAUUGAGGUGUCCAGGAAACUAAAAGAGGCAUAUCGAGAUGAAAAAUUAUAGUGGGAACAGAAGAGUAGAACUUUGUGGCAUACAUGUGGAGAUAGAAAUACUAAAGUAUAUCAUGCUUUAACCAAACAAAGACGCAUACAAAACAUGAUUAUUGGUUUAUAUAACGAGGAUGGGGAUUGGAUUAAUUCAGAAGGUGAUAUGGAAAGUGUGUCGCUUAAAUAUUUCAAUGAUCUGUUCCAGUCUACCCCGCCUUCAGAGUUUGAUAGGUUUCUAGAGGAAGUUCCAACUUGGUAACAACUGCUCAAAAUAAUAGACUAACGGCUCAUGCUUCAAAGGAGGAAGUUAGGACGUCAUUAUUUAUGAUGCACCCGGAGAAAG